GGGCUUCUGGUCAGGGAGCCUGACUCCCCACCUGGUGAACCUGAACGAAGACCCUCUGAUGUCUGAGUGUCUGCUCUACCACAUCAAAGAUGGCGUCACCAGCACUCUCGGCCU